UGGCGGAAUGCUUUACACAUGCAAGUCGAACGGCAGCACGGACUUCGGUCUGGUGGCGAGUGGCGAACGGGUGAGUAAUAUAUCGGAACGUAUCCAAUAAUGGGGGAUAACUAAUCGAAAGGUUGGCUAAUACCGCAUACGCCCUACGGGGGAAAGCUAGGGACCUUCGGGCCUGGCGUUAAUGGAGCGGCUGAUAUCUGAUUAGCUAGUAGGUGAGGUAAAGGCUCACCUAGGCGACGAUCAGUAGCUGGUCUGAGAGGACGACCAGCCACACUGGAACUGAGACACGGUCCAGACUCCUACGGGAGGCAGCAGUGGGGAAUUUUGGACAAUGGGCGAAAGCCUGAUCCAGCCAUUCCGCGUGAGUGAAGAAGGCCUUCGGGUUGUAAAGCUCUUUCGCAAGGGAAGAAAACUUAGGCGCUAAUAUCGCUUGAGGUUGACGGUACCUUGAUAAGAAGCACCGGCUAACUACGUGCCAGCAGCCGCGGUAAUACGUAGGGUGCGAGCGUUAAUCGGAAUUACUGGGCGUAAAGCGUGCGCAGGCGGUUUUGUAAGUCAGAUGUGAAAUCCCCGAGCUCAACUUGGGAACUGCGUUUGAAACUAUAAGACUAGAAUAUGUCAGAGGGGGGUAGAAUUCCACGUGUAGCAGUGAAAUGCGUAGAGAUGUGGAGGAAUACCAAUGGCGAAGGCAGCCCCCUGGGAUAAUAUUGACGCUCAUGCACGAAAGCGUGGGGAGCAAACAGGAUUAGAUACCCUGGUAGUCCACGCCCUAAACGAUGUCUACUAGUUGUUGGUGGAGUAAAAUCCAUGAGUAACGCAGCUAACGCGUGAAGUAGACCGCCUGGGGAGUACGGUCGCAAGAUUA
rnacentral:rRNA from 1 species